rnacentral:rRNA from 1 species
CGUGUAGGCGGGAUGUAAGGUGUCUUGUGAAAGCCCCCGGCUCAACCGGGGAAUUGCUUGGCAAACCGGCAUUCUUGAGGCAGGUAGAGGCGACUGGAACCUUUGGUGGAGAGGUGAAAUUCGUAGAUAUCAAAGGGAACGCCGGUGGCGAAAGCGGGUCGCUGGGCCUGUCCUGACGCUGAGACGCGAAAGCGUGGGGAGCGAACA